rnacentral:rRNA from 1 species
AUACGGAGGGUGCAAGCGUUAAUCGGAAUUACUGGGCGUAAAGCGCUCGUAGGCGGUUUGUUAAGUCGGAUGUGAAAGCCCCGGGCUCAACCUGGGAACUGCAUUCGAUACUGGCAGACUAGAGUAUAGUAGAGGCAAGUGGAAUUCCGGGUGUAGCGGUGAAAUGCGUAGAUAUCCGGAGGAACAUCAGUGGCGAAGGCGACUUGCUGGACUAAUACUGACGCUGAGGAGCGAAAGCGUGGGGAGCAAACGGGAUUAGAAAUCCCGGUAGUCC